rnacentral:rRNA from 1 species
UACGGAGGGAGCAAGCGUUACUCGGAAUUAUUGGGCGUAAAGGGCGCGUAGGCGAUCUGACAAGUCUGGUGUGAAAGCCCACAUGUUAACUGUGGAAGUGCAUUAGAAACUGUUGGAUUUGAGUUCAGGAGAGGAAGGCAGAAUUCCCGGUGUAGCGGUGAAAUGCGCAGAUAUCAGGAGGAACACCGAUGGCGAAGGCAGGUCUCUGGGCCACUACUGACGCUGAGAAGCGAAAGCAUGGGGAGCGAACAGG